rnacentral:rRNA from 1 species
UGCAAGUCGAGCGGAUGAGAGGAGCUUGCUCCUUGAUUUAGCGGCGGACGGGUGAGUAAUGCCUAGGAAUCUGCCUGGUAGUGGGGGAUAACGUUCCGAAAGGAACGCUAAUACCGCAUACGUCCUACGGGAGAAAGCAGGGGACCUUCGGGCCUUGCGCUAUCAGAUGAGCCUAGGUCGGAUUAGCUAGUUGGUGAGGUAAUGGCUCACCAAGGCGACGAUCCGUAACUGGUCUGAGAGGAUGAUCAGUCACACUGGAACUGAGACACGGUCCAGACUCCUACGGGAGGCAGCAGUGGGGAAUAUUGGACAAUGGGCGAAAGCCUGAUCCAGCCAUGCCGCGUGUGUGAAGAAGGUCUUCGGAUUGUAAAGCACUUUAAGUUGGGAGGAAGGGCAUUAACCUAAUACGUUAGUGUUUUGACGUUACCGACAGAAUAAGCACCGGCUAACUUCGUGCCAGCAGCCGCGGUAAUACGAAGGGUGCAAGCGUUAAUCGGAAUUACUGGGCGUAAAGCGCGCGUAGGUGGUUCGUUAAGUUGGAUGUGAAAGCCCCGGGCUCAACCUGGGAACUGCAUCCAAAACUGGCGAGCUAGAGUACGGUAGAGGGUGGUGGAAUUUCCUGUGUAGCGGUGAAAUGCGUAGAUAUAGGAAGGAACACCAGUGGCGAAGGCGACCACCUGGACUGAUACUGACACUGA